GAUUUUCAAGAAAUAGCUCACCAAUGUUAUCGAGCACCUACAAAAUGGCGAAGAAGAAAAUAGACGAACACAGUUUGAUGUUAUUCUGUGGUUUGUUUUAUUUCUUUGCUUUGCAACGGUUCCGUAAAGUAGAGGUGAAUUAUUACUGCAAGAGGAAACUGCAGCGCUGUGUAUUUAAAAAUAUUUAUAUUGACAAGAGCUCCGGGGCUACGAACCGCGAUUUAAGCAAAAUUGCUGAAGCGGGCGUUGUGCAGCACUAUUUCCUACUAAACAUGUUACGAGAGACCUGAACUUUGUCGAUUAGCUCUGAAUAUUGCAAGUGCUCAGCCUGCAUCAACAGGGUGGCAUUAAAUGUAUGGUAAUGACUGUUACCUUAAUUAGUAUAAGGCAAGUAGGAACAUAUUAUACAGUAACGGCAAAUUCUGAUGCAGCGAACGUUAGUCCUGCACUAUUUGCAUAAUAAUAGAAUGUACCGUGUGAAAGUAUAAGCCAACCCUCUUAUAAAAUCGUGUGAUUAUCGUCUAAAAUAAUUCAAUUUCAGUUACGAUUACACGAGUUCCCACCGGGCAGGAUUUCUCCCCUAAGUACAGGUAACAGAUAGAAGGUAAGACGUUCGAGGGGACGAAAUCAAUGCGUCGUUUUGCGUAUAAAGAAUAGGGAAGCAUUGUGUGCGCUUACGCAAGGAGCCCACGUGCGCGCGCGCUCCCACGGGUCGAAUGGGGAGGGAUUUCGGGAAUCGAAUAUAAGGGCCAAAAAUCCGCUGGUUGAGUCACAUUCGAAUAGAAAGCGAUACAGUGCACAGCUCCGGGGUGUCGCGCUACGGCGCCCCCGGUAGUGCCGGACCAAUUCCCAAUUAAAGUUGUUACUUUGUCAAUUAAAAGUUUGAAAUCAGUUGUUAAUAAACUGUUAAAUUAAGGACAAUACUGUGAACAAUGGGAACAGUCUUCAAAACUGAAGUCCGGACGAAUUCUACUUUCACGAACACUACAAAUAUGUAGAAUAUAAAUCAGAGAGAGUGAGCACGGAGAGAUGUGGAAUUUGUAUAUAUCAACGUAAUCAAAUGGCAAAACCAAGCUGAAGUUCAACUCUAAAGGAACUUAUUGAAGGCAUUGACUGCCAGCAGCCAACAGCAUCAAAGAAUCACCCUUGUAUACGAAAGAAACCAAAGGAGACCACUAUUCAACCAAUUCAGGUGACUGCAAAAUAAUCUUUCUAGACUCCCCAAAGAUAGGAUAGGAUACUUUAGGAUACCGUAUUGUUAGGGAAUUAAGUAAACGUUUGUGGAUAAAACGUUAAUGUUUGUACAUAAAAUUAGUAUAAACUAGGUAUUAUUCAUAAAAUAAGGUUAGGAUAGGAUUAGAUAAGUACUUGCAGCAAAUAUUAAGAGCAUAAUAGUGUUCACAUUUGAACCGAAAGUGCCUUAAUGAUCGGUGUUGUUGUCAAAACUUAGUUACGUUUCAUGUUUUGUUUGCAACUGUUUCAAUUGUUCACGUUUUGAGUCUGUUUUUGCUUUUGUUACAUCUGUUGGAUUCUAAAGUACGUUGUUGUUUUCUGUUAAUUUCGGCUACAGAUUAAAACUCAGUGUUCGCACUUGCAGCUGCUAGUAUUUCACGAAUAUUUGCAUUCAAAUUAAUAUAUUCUGGAAACAAUACAUCGUAGCUGUUAAAUAUUUAUCUGAUUUUCAUAUACCAAAUAUGAAGACCAAAGUGCUUAAUUUUCUUUCGGUUACAAAUUCGAAAAAUAAUUUUUAGCUGUACCACAAAUGUUGUGUUCACGUUUCUUGUUUUUGUAAAUAACUAUGUUGAUUUUUUGUUUUAAUUAGCAACAAACCAGCUGGUCUGGAAACGUUGUUAUUGUUGGGUAGUAUUUUUAAGUUUUUGUUUGAAAACCGUUGAAUUUUUGUUUUAAAACCGAUUUCUGUUACGAUUCAUUUUCGAAGACUAAAGACCAAAGCAGCAAAGUUUCUUGUUAAAAUAUGCUCAAGUACCUGUCAUGAAAGUUCAGUUACAGUGCAGUGUUCGAUUAAUUGUUAGCGUUGAUUUUUUGUUUGAGUAAUAACGUUGUUUGUUUUUGUUAAACUGUUGUUGAUUUCAAGUUAAGUUUGCAUUUUGUUAUAACAACCAUUUUUCCGUAUACGUCUGUCUUGCAGCUUCAGUGGUGUUUAAAUCCAACUCAUUGGUUAAUUUAAAAAUGUAUUUUGGUACAUUUUAAAGUCUUCACCUAAAAUGUUUAUCUAGCGAAAGUGAAUUUGGGUGUACGCUAUAAAUAGGGAACACUAUUAUCAUCACACUUACUGACAUCAUAACACUUAAGAACUUAUAACAUUGUUCUUUUAACUGUUGCUACUGUUAAAGUUUUAUUAGAAUACGUUUAUUCCUAUAAUGUAAAUAUUAUUCGUAUAAUAAACUUAUUUUUAUACUCGACAAAGUUGUUCUAGUAAUUAGCGUGCACCACAAUUUCGUUUACGCUAACUUGUUUCAAUUUAAUUUAUCACUUUCUUUGCAAUAAAAUAAAGUGUUAUACAACUAAAGACAGAUCUGCUGCAAGACAGAUAUUGCUGUGUACAGAUAUGAAAAUGUCAUCCGCAGUUAGGAACAAUUGAACAUUGAUUCAAUGCCAAUAACAAUAAAACAAUCAUGUUCAUUAAUUUCAGAUUUGUUAAGUUUUCGUUGCCAGUUAUACUAUUGAUUUGUCUGUUAAAUUCAUAUUAUGUUUUUGUUUUGUUUGUUACUUUCUGACCAUGUCCAUCUAGCAAGAUAAAGAGGGUUUCGAAAAUUUAAUUGAUGAGAAUGUGAUACUCCCUCAACAACAACUCACUUAGUAGAUCAAUAAUGUCAUUUGACUAUUCCGGGAAUUGGGUCGCAUUCCUAUCAAUGUUUUUUCUAACCUCAUCGCGUUUAGGUUACCUAUUAAGAAAUAGACCGCUAAUAUCUUAUUAAUUUUCAUUCCAAUCUUAUGCACCUAAGUUGCAGUUUGAUUUCUUUCUCAGUAAUAACUAUGAUGUCCAUCUUUAAUAGUCGUUUUCCGCCUUAAUCAUUAUCUUACUUUUAAUUUUUGUGUUCUAAUUUGUUAAUGCUAACCUUGUUGAAUUGACUGUUACUUUCAAGUUAAGUUUUUGUUUUGUUUUUACUAUCAUCUGUUUUUGUUAAUCUUCUGAUAUCCGUUAAAAAUUGAAUUCGUAGCGAUUUCGCGUUAUCAAAAGUCUUGUUAAUGUUGCUUUCGAUCCAAAAUUAAACUACGAAUUUCACAAAGUUUUUGUUGUAAUCAAUCUGGUAUGACUCACAGUACUUACCACAAUAAUCAGUUGAAAGAAUAUCUUUUGACACUUUCCAUUGUAAAAAUUGUUAAAGUUUGAUUUCUCUGUUAUUAAUUCUUGUUAACGAUGAAACCUGAAGCCUCAGUAAUUCUGUUAAGGAAUUUCUUGUUGAGUUUUUGUUUAAUUGUUAUGUUGGUCUUAUUGUUGAUUUCGCUGUUAAUUUCAAGUUCAGUUUUUGUUUUGUUUUUAAUUUCUUUUCGACUGAAUUUUUUGACUGUAUGGUCUUCUGACUGAUUUUUUUGACUGAAUUCUUUGACUGUUAGAUCUUCUGCUUAUUAAUUUAGUUGAAACAUUUUAUUAAUUUCAAACUUGUACACUGUCAAUUUCCAGUUUAUUUUCCGUUUGUUUUCUGCAAGGUGCUCUCUUCAAGUAGCUUCACGUCCUCUCCUCCUAUUAAUUAUUAAGUUUGCCUUGUUUUGAAACAAUCACAUCGUGCCUUAUUACCGUAAUGUGCCUAAUAUUGUUUCAUUUUUGUUGUUUCGUGUUUUUGCCUUCUUAUAGGGUUCUGACCAAUGAGGUUCGAAUCCUAUUUGGACGCAUUGUUUUUUAUCACAGUGACGUAUAAAUAUUGCUGGAAUUUCAAUAUUAUUGUACGAAUCUGUUGAAUACUUAAGCCUAGUGACUAUUUUGUCCCCUUAAUAUCGUUUUGUUAUGGUAUACUUUAUUACAAGCACACUCCACGUUGUUAAUUUGGAUAUUUCGAUACACGUGCCGCUGAAAAUAAAUUGCACUGUUAAGCUCAUAAUUAAAUUAAACCCCAUCAACCAAUAGUUUCCAAAGUGACUGAGUACAAAACACAUGAACGGGGAUAAAAUUGUCAUUACGCACUUAUUGUUUUUACCAUUUGGUAUAAUUUUGUUGAACGAUUAAAUAUUGUUAAUGUUACAUAGUUUUAAGCGUUGAAUUGUUGUUAAGUUUUGAUUGUGAUAUUAUUGUUAAAUUUUGAUCAUGGCUGUGUUUGUUAAUUUUAUGUUAAGUUUUCGUUGAUACCAUUUUUGUUCAUUGUUCUUUGCCGACAUUAAGGCCACCGAGUAACACCAAAGUAAUUGUAGUAUAACAUUGUAGUGUAUGUUUGUAUUUAAGAUUAAUCUUAGUAACUACUGUAUUGUUUGGAAGUAACUACUGUAACCAAAGCUUUGUAUAAAAUUAACAAAUAGGUAAGUUAGGGUUAUUUAUUAGAGAUGUAUGACAGUUCGUGUGUUUGUGUGAAAUAAAUGUACUAAAACAUUUAA